rnacentral:rRNA from 1 species
AUGUCUUACGGCUCACCGGAGCUGCUCCAACAACAGAAUGAUCCAUCACAACAGAGUAGUGCCCUGGACGCCGUCUACAGAUUCCUCAGAUCUUCCUCCACACCUCCGAUAACCACCUCUGCCUCAACUGCUUCAACGACCAACCCGAUGAUGUUGAGGUCGACACGGCUACAGCAAAGAGGUUGUACACUUGUUGCAUCACUUAUUACUAUACAUUCAUGUCGAUCCAUUAGGGCUAUUUUGAUUCAACGGAAAAACAUAGCAAUAGGGAAUUUUUCAAUGGCACUCUACUAUUCAAUUAUUCAUGCAUUUUGUUGA